UACGUAGGGGGCAAGCGUUGUCCGGAAUCAUUGGGCGUAAAGCGCGUGUAGGCGGCCCGGUAAGUCCGCUGUGAAAGUCGGGGGCUCAACCCUCGAAUGCCGGUGGAUACUGUCGGGCUAGAGUGCGGAAGAGGCGAGUGGAAUUCCUGGUGUAGCGGUGAAAUGCGCAGAUAUCAGGAGGAACACCAAUUGCGAAGGCAGCUCGCUGGGACGUUACUGACGCUGAGACGCGAAAGUAUGGGGAGCGAACAGG
rnacentral:rRNA from 1 species